GGGCGGUUCUCCAACUGCCGCCCAGGCUGCGCGUGGGGCCUGGCAUGGCGGCCUCCGGAGUCCGUUAGGUAAACAGGGAGACUCAGGAUGCUUCUGGCACUGAGAAGCUCAUCUCAGCCUCAUGUUUUCACUGAGAGGAUGUCAUGACCCUCUUUUCGCUAUUCCUUGUUGAUCUGCAAACACACCAGAAGGAAUCACGUGAUCAAUGUAGCCACCAGCUGACCCCACAGCUGCCUCCUGGCUCCCUUAGUUCCACAUGAGAAUUUCUGGGCCUUCCUUCCUUAUGCUUGGAUGUGUCAUUCCACCUUCAGCACUCCCUGCACAGAUGGCUGAGCUACUCCAAUGGUCUGCAAUGUGGUGUGUACAGAGAACCUGGUGCUAUAUUAAGAUGCAUGAGCUGAGCUCAGGAGGAACUGACAGGCUUUGCCAGAGCAUUAAACAGACACCUUCAUGUGCACCUUUGCUAGGGAAGAGAAUACCUGUGCUGGAAAAAAUAGCCUGCCCAACCAAGAAUUGCUUUUACCACAACAAAUUAUUCAACUCUUCUCUUUAAAAAGAAAC